UGUCUAGCAAUGGUGCUUCACCACUGCCCAGGGAGUACAGCAAACCUUUGAUGAGGACGACUUGCAGAAACCAGCCAACUAGACCUCUUGUGAACUGUAGGGUCAGUGCCUCAGGGGUAAACCUGUAUCACCGAACAAAUCACAUUUAGAUGAUUCAGUCAUGUAAAGUGUGCAGUGGUUCUCCAGGUAGAAGACAGAGUGCUACACGCUGUAUUUACCUUCCAAGAACUCCCAAUGCGUAUCCAGCAAUGACAAUGUAGGUGCCAAAGGCCAUCAAAGGGAUGUACAGGUCUGGUGCAUUGAUAUCCUGAAUUGGAGGUUUGUAGGAUAGCCUUCCUCCUACAGGUUCAGUUAUUCUCGUCCAAUGGCC
rnacentral:lncRNA from 1 species